rfam:Danio rerio chromosome 7 genomic contig CTG751, GRCz11 reference primary assembly.
ACUGGCAGCUAGCUCUCUGCAACUCUCACAUGUUAGCCCACUGAAGCUAAGCAGGGCUGCGCCCGGUCAGUACUUGGAUGGGAGACCACAUGGGAAAACUAGGUUGCUGCCGGAA